rnacentral:rRNA from 1 species
CAGGUCUUGACAUCCUCUGACAACCCUAGAGAUAGGGCGUUCCCCUUCGGGGGACAGAGUGACAGGUGGUGCAUGGUUGUCGUCAGCUCGUGUCGUGAGAUGUUGGGUUAAGUCCCGCAACGAGCGCAACCCUUGAUCUUAGUUGCCAGCAUUCAGUUGGGCACUCUAAGGUGACUGCCGGUGACAAACCGGAGGAAGGUGGGGAUGACGUCAAAUCAUCAUGCCCCUUAUGACCUGGGCUACACACGUGCUACAAUGGAUGGAACAAAGGGCAGCGAAGCCGCGAGGUGAAGCCAAUCCCAUAAAACCAUUCUCAGUUCGGAUUGCAGGCUGCAACUCGCCUGCAUGAAGCCGGAAUCGCUAGUAAUCGCGGAUCAGCAUGCCGCGGUGAAUACGUUCCC